CCGCACGGGUGAGUAACACGUAUCCAACCUGCCGUCUACUCUUGGACAGCCUUCUGAAAGGAAGAUUAAUACAAGAUGGCAUCAUGAGUCCACAUGUUCACAUGGUUAAAGGUAUUCCGGUAGACGAUGGGGAUGCGUUCCAUUAGAUAGUAGGCGGGGUAACGGCCCACCUAGUCUUCGAUGGAUAGGGGUUCUGAGAGGAAGGUCCCCCACAUUGGAACUGAGACACGGUCCAA
rnacentral:rRNA from 1 species